GACGAACGCUGGCGGCGUGCUUAACACAUGCAAGUCGAACGGAAAGGCCCUGCUUUUGUGGGGUGCUCGAGUGGCGAACGGGUGAGUAACACGUGAGUAACCUGCCCUUGACUUUGGGAUAACUUCAGGAAACUGGGGCUAAUACCGGAUAGGAGCUCCUGCUGCAUGGUGGGGGUUGGAAAGUUUCGGCGGUUGGGGAUGGGCUCGCGGCUUAUCAGCUUGUUGGUGGGGUAGUGGCUUACCAAGGCUUUGACGGGUAGCCGGCCUGAGAGGGGGACCGGCCACAUGGGGCCUGAGAGACGGCCCAGACUCGUACGGGAGGCAGCAGUGGGGAAUAUUGCACAAGGGGCGGAAGCCUGAUGCAGCAACGCCGCGUGCGGGAUGACGGCCUUCGGGUUGUAAACCGCUGUCGCCUGUGACGAAGAGUGAGUGACGGUAAUGGGUAAAGAAGCACCGGCUAACUACGUG
rnacentral:rRNA from 1 species